rnacentral:rRNA from 1 species
UACCUCCGUGUGUCGUCGUCGACGAGUCAGAGAGUUGUAGCUAUGGCUCAGGAUGAACGCUGGCGGCGUGCAUAACACAUUCAAGUCGAACGGACGGCAGGACUCGGUUUGCCGUUAGUGGCGGACGGGUGAGUAACGCGUGAGCAAUCUGCCUUUGACUGGGGGAUAACAGAGGGAAACCUCUGCUAAUACCGCAUAACGCGGCGGGGUCGCAUGGACCUGCCGCCAAAGAUUUAUCGGUCAAAGAUGAGCUCGCGUCCGAUUAGAUAGAUGGCGGGGUAACGGCCCACCAUGUCGACGAUCGGUAGCCGGACUGAGAGGUUGAACGGCCACAUUGGAACUGAGAGACGGUCCAGACUCCUACGGGAGGCAGCAGUGGGGAAUAUUGGGCAAUGGGCGAAAGCCUGGCCCAGCGACGCCGCGUGAGGGAAGAAGGUCUUCGGAUUGUAAACCUUAGUUGGCAGGGAAGAAGAAAGUGACGGUACCUGCAGAGAAAGCCACGGCUAACUACGUGCCAGCCGCCGC